AACGCACCUUGCGCUCCUUGGUAUUCCGAGGAGCAUGCCUGUUUGAGAGUCAUAAUAUUCUCAACCUCUCUUAACUUUGUUUUAAGUGAGGCUUGGAUUAUGGGAGUUGCGGGCUUUUUCUUUAUUAGAACAAUCCGCUCUUCUUAAAUAUAUUAGUGGAGUCUUUGACCGAUCAUCUUUUUAGUAUGAUAAUUAUCUAUACUAUUGGGACUCGGUUGUUUACCCUGUAUUAAAGGGGAGGAUUCCGCUACUAACCGUCUUUAUUAAGACACUAUACUAUGACAUUUUGACCUCAAAUCAGGUAGGACUACCCGCUGAACUUAA
rnacentral:misc_RNA from 1 species